AGACCCGAAACCCGGUGAUCUAGCCAUGGGCAGGUUGAAGGUUGGGUAACACUAACUGGAGGACCGAACCGACUAAUGUUGAAAAAUUAGCGGAUGACCUGUGGCUGGGGGUGAAAGGCCAAUCAAACCGGGAGAUAGCUGGUUCUCCCCGAAAGCUAUUUAGGUAGCGCCUCGUGAAUUCAUCUCCGGGGGUAGAGCACUGUUUCGGCUAGGGGGCCAUCCCGGCUUACCAACCCGAUGCAAACUGCGAAUACCGGAGAAUGUUAUCACGGGAGACACACGGCGGGUGCUAACGUCCGUCGUGAAGAGGGAAACAACCCAGACCGCCAGCUAAGGUCCCAAAGUCAUGGUUAAGUGGGAAACGAUGUGGGAAGGCCCAGACAGCCAGGAUGUUGGCUUAGAAGCAGCCAUCAUUUAAAGAAAGCGUAAUAGCUCACUGGUCGAGUCGGCCUGCGCGGAAGAUGUAACGGGGCUAAACCAUGCACCGAAGCUGCGGCAGCGACGCUUAUGCGUUGUUGGGUAGGGGAGCGUUCUGUAAGCCUGCGAAGGUGGCCUGUGAGGGUUGCUGGAGGUAUCAGAAGUGCG
rnacentral:rRNA from 1 species